AUUGAACGCUGGCGGCAGGCCUAACACAUGCAAGUCGAGCGGAUGAAGGGAGCUUGCUCCUGGAUUCAGCGGCGGACGGGUGAGUAAUGCCUAGGAAUCUGCCUGGUAGUGGGGGAUAACGUCCGGAAACGGGCGCUAAUACCGCAUACGGCCUGAGGGAGAAAGUGGGGGAUCUUCGGACCUCACGCUAUCAGAUGAGCCUAGGUCGGAUUAGCUAGUUGGUGGGGUAAAGGCCUACCAAGGCGACGAUCCGUAACUGGUCUGAGAGGAUGAUCAGUCACACUGGAACUGAGACACGGUCCAGACUCCUACGGGAGGCAGCAGUGGGGAAUAUUGGACAAUGGGCGAAAGCCUGAUCCAGCAAUGCCGCGUGUGUGAAGAAGGUCUUCGGAUUGUAAAGCACUUUAAGUUGGGAGGAAGGGCAGUAAGUUAAUACGUUGCUGUUUUGACGUUACCAACAGAAUAAGCACCGGCUAACUUCGUG
rnacentral:rRNA from 1 species